AGGGCGCGUAGGCGGAUUAUCAAGUCUCUUGUGAAAUCUAAUGGCUUAACCAUUAAACUGCUUGGGAAACUGAUAGUCUAGAGUGAGGGAGAGGCAGAUGGAAUUGGUGGUGUAGGGGUAAAAUCCGUAGAUAUCACCAAGAAUACCCAUUGCGAAGGCGAUCUGCUGGAACUCAACUGACGCUAAGGCGCGAAAGCGUGGGGAGCAAACAGGAUUAGAUACCCUGGUAGUCCACGCCCUAAACGAUGUACACUAGUUGUUGGGAUGCUAGUCAUCUCAGUAAUGCAGCUAACGCAUUAAGUGUACCGCCUGGGGAGUACGGUCGCAAGAUUAAAACUCAAAGGAAUAGACGGGGACCCGCACAAGCGGUGGAGCAUGUGGUUUAAUUCGAAGAUACGCGAAGAACCUUACCUGGGCUUGAUAUCCUAAGAACCUUUUAGAGAUAAGAGGGUGCUAGCUUGCUAGAACUUAGAGACAGGUGCUGCACGGCUGUCGUCAGCUCGUGUCGUGAGAUGUUGGGUUAAGUCCCGCAACGAGCGCAACCCACGUAUUUAGUUGCUAACGGUUCGGCCGAGCACUCUAAAUAGACUGCCUUCGUAAGGAGGAGGAAGGUGUGGACGACGUCAAGUCAUCAUGGCCCUUAUGCCCAGGGCGACACACGUGCUACAAUGGCAUAUACAAUGAGACGCAAUACCGCGAGGUGGAGCAAAUCUAUAAAAUAUGUCCCAGUUCGGAUUGUUCUCUGCAACUCGAGAGCAUGAAGCCGGAAUCGCUAGUAAUCGUAGAUCAGCCAUGCUACGGUGAAUACGUUCCCGGGUCUUGU
rnacentral:rRNA from 1 species